rnacentral:rRNA from 1 species
UACGGAGGAUGCAAGCGUUAUCCGGAAUGAUUGGGCGUAAAGCGUCGCAGGUGGCUGUGUAAGUCUGCUGUUAAAGAGUCUAGCUCAACUAGAUAAGAGCAGUGGAAACUACACGGCUAGAGUACGUUCGGGGCAGAGGGAAUUCCUGGUGUAGCGGUGAAAUGCGUAGAGAUCAGGAAGAACACCGGUGGCGAAGGCGCUCUGCUAGGCCGUAACUGACACUGAGGGACGAAAGCUAGGGGAGCGAAUGGG